rnacentral:rRNA from 1 species
AGAGUUUGAUCCUGGCUCAGGAUGAACGCUAGCGACAGGCUUAACACAUGCAAGUCGAGGGGCAGCGAGGGAGUGGCAACACUUCCGUCGGCGACCGGCGCACGGGUGAGUAACGCGUAUGCAACCUGCCCUUCACAGGGGGAUAACCGGGAGAAAUUCCGACUAAUACCGCAUACGUCCUCCGGGGGCAUCCCCGGGGGAUGAAAGAAUUAUCGGUGAAGGAUGGGCAUGCGUGAUAUUAGGUAGUUGGCGGGGCAACGGCCCACCAAGCCCACGAUAUCUAGGGGUUCUGAGAGGAAGGUCCCCCACAUUGGUACUGAGACACGGACCAAACUCCUACGGGAGGCAGCAGUGAGGAAUAUUGGUCAAUGGACGAGAGUCUGAACCAGCCAAGUAGCGUGAAGGAUGAAGGUCCUACGGAUUGUAAACUUCUUUUAUAAGGGAAUAAAACCUCCCACGUGUGGGAGCUUGUAUGUACCUUAUGAAUAAGCAUCGGCUAACUCCGUGCCAGCAGCCGCGGUAAUACGGAGGAUGCGAGCGUUAUCCGGAUUUAUUGGGUUUAAAGGGAGCGCAGACGGGUCGUUAAGUCAGCUGUGAAAGUUUGGGGCUCAACCUUAAAAUUGCAGUUGAUACUGGCGUCCUUGAGUGCGGUUGAGGUGUGCGGAAUUCGUGGUGUAGCGGUGAAAUGCUUAGAUAUCACGAAGAACUCCGAUUGCGAAGGCAGCUCACUGGAGCGCAACUGACGCUGAAGCUCGAAAGUGCGGGUAUCGAACAGGAUUAGAUACCCUGGUAGUCCGCACGGUAAACGAUGGAUGCCCGCUGUUGGUCUGAAUAGGUCAGCGGCCAAGCGAAAGCAUUAAGCAUCCCACCUGGGGAGUACGCCGGCAACGGUGAAACUCAAAGGAAUUGACGGGGGCCCG